GUUUCUGAAAAGUGGCUUUUUAAAAUAUUCACUGAAAAUGCCAGGUGAGAGAAUGGCACAUUACAAGUUCAGCCUCUGUGGGAUUGGAGCUCUUAUCGGUCUCAUCUUCCGUAGGACUCUGUUCAUGAGCGGGCAGCUCAGUCUUCAACCUCUUCUGAUCUCUGUUAUUUUAUUUGAAAAUAUUUGCAGUGCAGUGUAGCUGAGUUUAGAAACAGGAUGAGGAUGUUCAGGAAACAGACCCAGCAGCACUCGCCCUUUAUUAGUUUUUUUUAGUGUAUUCAGUGUUGAAAUUCCAACAUCAAGAAGCUUUCAUGCUUAUGAGAAUACACCUGCUCCUAGGGUUACUGAGGGGGAGAUCUCACACCCAGCAUUGUUAGGAAGAAGGCAGUAACCUUCCCAUUGUCACCAGCUGUCACAGCACACUAGCUCUUCAUUGUUUGACAGUGUAACAUCAGGGGGCUGUGUGGAUUAACCCUUCUACCAUAUAGGUUGCACCUGGGCCAGCCUUAGGGCGAGCACGCCCAAAGAGGGAAUCUAUUUAAGAAACCUGGAUGCUUCCUCUCAGGUUUCCUACAAGUAAGCAUUUGCCUCUUCUUAUUGUGAAUUGCUGUGUAUUAGGAGCAAAUAAGGGAAAUUCUCUUUCUGACUGUGUGAAGGUCUGUUAAGUUAGAGCAAUGAAUCAAAUUUCUCUGCUCGUGUUUGUAAGGAGUAGAGGUCUUUGUAUGAUGGAAGCUGUGGAAAGGGAGAGUUUUAUCUGUAUGGUCCAACAAGGCUCUAGACCUUCAGGAGGAUUUGCCCCUGAAUUGCUGUGCAGUCUAGGGGGCUUCCAUUAAGAAAAGCUGUUCAUGUUGAUUGUGCUGCAUCGCUGGCAUGAAGGGACAGGUUCAUCUCCAAUGUUCUGUUCAGAGGAGUUUCCUUGGAUUGACACAAAAAUCCCUAAGGAGCUGGUGAAAACCUCUCUGAUCUGGUUUCUGUUGCGAGAUGAAAUGCAUACAUCUGACUUGGAGAAAGGAGUGAAAAGCAGGCUGAGAUUCUCGGCCCAGUGCCCGCUGACUUGUUCCCUGAUGAUCCUGCCAGCUCGAGGCUGCUCAGCACAAGUGUUGGGGAGGCAUGUGUGGAAGGCAGAAAGCUCAGAAAGCAGGAAUUCCUGGAGCAGCAAGAGGAGAGGAGCAUGACAGGAAGAAGGGGCUGCUAUUUCGCUGAAGGGCCCAUCACGAAUGGUGCAAGAAUAACAGUUCUCUGUCACGGCUCCAGAUUCCCUUAUCUGGGAGCGUCAAGCGGCGGGGCCUGUCGACACCUCUGCCUCGCGCCCUGCUCUGCACUCAGCCGCCUGCAGAUACAGAGUGGCUUGAACAAGUUCCAGUGCUCGCUCUCGGAGCUUCCCAAGACCCAUGGUUGCAGCAGGGCCCAGCGCCAUCGGGCAGCCAGGUGACAUCACUGCCAACAGCCAUGGAGGCGCUUCCUGUGUCACAUUCCUCACUGAAGAGCCUCUUGCCAAAUCCUUGUCGUUCUGCACGGUCUUUUUAGGAACAGAUGGGCUAAUUUUAGCCUGACCGCCACAAACACCUUCCUGAAAUAGAGUCUGACUCUCUCCUGUCUCAUGCAUGUUCCUGAGAGUUUAAAAACAAAUCCCUAGUCUUUAGGGUCCACAGCUAAGGCCUCUGUCAGCCUAAAUUUGGCAGUAGGAAUUACUGAGCAGUGCACUGGGGAAACUGCUGUCAGUGUCAGGCCCGUACUGAGCUGGAUGGAAUGUUCCAACAAGGCAGAAGCUCAGGUGCUGGCAUAUCACAAAGUCAUAUGGUCCAAUAUGAAGUUGUUCUGUAUUUCAAGGACUUUGCAAUAGAAAGAAAACUUCUUGGCUAGCUGCAGCCAGGUAUGACAUCUACAAGUGUAGUGAAUGGACUUAGUGUCCUCUGUGGUCUGCCUUGGACAAUUGCUCUAAUCAUCAUCCUUUCUUUCUGGGGCAUGACUAGAUAAGCACUGCCCUGGGAGUUAAUAAUCCUGCUUCUGGUCCUGUAGCAAAGUCAGUUCAUACCUGUCUGUGCUCUACUUGAAGGAUGUAUGUAACACUGACCUGCUCUGAGAACAGCAAAUGAAAGGCACUUAGAGAAGAAUUAGAAUCACUCAGAUGAGGACAAGGAGCACAAUCUCCACAAAAUCACCAGGGUUUUUAUGCUCCUUCCUUUUGCUGUUUCUAUGAGCUUGAAUCUGCAGGCUCUUGUGUUGAAGGAUCAAUGCAAGCCUGAGCUGCUGUUUCUAAUUAGCAGAGUAAAAAGCUGUGUUGUUAAAGAGCUUUCUCUGGAUAGGAAAGGAAAAAAGGUUUUCAGGCAGCUGUUGCUUUUAUAUCACUCUUUGGAGUGACCUCCCCAUCCCUUAUGUUCCUUUAGAUCUGCUAAUUAAGCAGUUCCUUGUACCUGCAGGUCAGUUGAUCAGCUAAUGGACUCCCCACAGCCUCUGAUGCAGCAUGUCCUGGAGGGUAAAGAGGAAAAGGCAAAAGGCCCUUGGAGAUCCAACUGGGUCCUGGGCUGGCUUUGCCCAUGGGGCUCUUCCUGAGCAGUACUGAAAGCAAGCACAUGAAACAGAAAGAACAAAAGGCCUGGAGGUUGUUACCUGGUAUUUGCCAGGGUCCCUGGGUAUAUGGCUUAGCCUCCACAGGAUGGGAGACUAUUAGCCAGCUGAGCUGCCCAGCUUGCCAUCAUUCAUCUGAGACCUAAAAAUACUGAUGUCUCACAUAAGGUGAGCGCAAAGUGGCUGGAGUUGUUGAGUACUCUAAAAGCCAAACCCUUGGCACCAGGCUGCAGCUGGGCAUUAAUGGAUGAGAACAAAAGUGACAAGAGGGUUUCAUUUGCUGACUGCCCCCCUUGGAGGUGGGAGUAUGCCAGCAUGUUAAUUGAAGGACAGAAGGGACUUGAGGGACAGGACUUCUGCAUUCUGGGUGAAUGUAACUGAAACACCCCAACUAUUGUACAGCCUAAAAUAGCUUUUGCUCUGUUUUUCUAGUAGUAUCAUAUAGGAUUUUGGAAAUGUCACUGGCAAGAAUUUGGUCAAACUGAUUAAUUUACAUGAAUUGUUUUUGUUUCCAGUUUCCCACCCCUCUCUCACUUUGACACAUUUCUUCAAUAGCAAACUUCUAACGCCCCAAAAAGAAGUUCAGAGCCCAAAGGUUAAGUAGCUGACAGGAGGUCACUGAACAAGCUGUUAGUGAAGUCAGCCUUAAUUAUUUUUUUUUGCUUCCACUUCUGAGUCUGGGCCAUAACAGACAUCAUCCUGACUGUUCUGGAAGUUGUAAAAGUAGGAAACAGUCACCACCAAAGCAGGCUUGGGAGUCAGGACUUGCUGCUUUGCUAGGAGCCAGAAAGUACUCCAGGAUAUAUGCUCUUUUCUAUCUCAUCCUAUUCAUUUGUCUCCCUUUUUACCUACUCUCCAGUUUCAAGUGCAUGUUUCCUUUUAAUGCUCAUCUUGAAAGGCCUGUUUUGCCCUUCUUGCUUCUCUGACCUUCUUCAUCUCAAGAGAAAAGUGCUGUGGCAGGUCAACGACAUUCCCUUCUUCUCCUUUCACUGCUUUCAGAAGCUUCCCUUGUGACAAAGUUUGUGGUGCUCGAGUAGUCUGGCCUCUUAAUGUCCCCAAAAGGAUGCCUUAAGGACUGUGAAUGCAGCAUACAUCAGGCAGGUCUGUAAUGACAUCUGGCGUUCAAUCUAGGAAAAUGCUGAUUAUUGCCUCUCCCUGUUCUGGUGUUGUGAAAAUCCAGAUGUCAGCAGGCUGGCUGAAGGGGGAAGCAGAGAUUCUUGUUUCUAGAUCUUCUAGGAGGACCACAACAGCUUCUUAUUCAGACUCUGCAUCUCAUGUAACUCGGCAGGAUGGCCAAAAUUAUCCAUUUGAUCUUUAUGGGAAUGAGGUGUAGCCUGUGAGUGGUACUGGAGGAAAGUUAUAGAUAAACUGGCUUCAUAUAGCUGGCUGAAAGAGGGGAAACAUAACCCCCAUUUUAAAAAGGGAAAAAAGGAAGACAAAGAGAACUACAGGCCAGUCAGUCUCACCUCUGUGUCUGGCAAGAUGAUGGAGCAGAUUCUCCUGGAAAUUAUGCUAAGGUGCAUGGACAUUAAGAAGGUGACUGGUGACAGCCAACACAGCUUCACUAAGGGCAGAUCGUGCCAUACAGAUUUGGUGGCCUUUCUAUGAUGGGGUUACAGAAUUGCUGAAUAGGAGAGCUACUGAUGUCAUCUACCUGGACUUGUGCAAGGGAUUUGACACUGUCCCCUGUUAUAUCCUUAUCCCAAAAUUGGAGAGACAUGGAUUUGACAGAAGGGCCACUCAGUGGGGAAGGAAUUGGCUGGAUGGUGACGCUCAGAGAGCUGCGGUCAAUGGCUCAAUGUCCAGGUGGAGAUCAGUGACGAGUGGUGUUCCUCAGGGGUCAGUACCAGGACCAACACUGAUUCAGACCCAGGCUUCUCAGUCCAGAAAAUGUUUCAUCUUACCAAAAGUCAGUCUCAGAGGUAAGCCAGCCAACCUUCCAAAAUCUUUGGAAACCAAGGCACCGUAUCAAAGCAUCAACAAUAUGCAUAUAAAGUAGCUCAUCACUUCCCACUUCACCUCUGGAGAGGGAUUGUUCAGAGUUGAACCAAAGCAUGUUUCAUUAAUAACACUAAUUGCCAUCUAUCAUCAAGAACACAGGGCCAUUUUCCGCUAUUUUCUAAAUUAAAAAUCCACACAGAAGCCUCUGAAGAGAUGAAGAUCAGAACAGGCUCAAUUUUCCAUGCAAAUAAUUUGCCUCUGAUCUUGACCCAGAAUUUUCAUAACAAUUGGAGCCAGUGUGGGGUUCCUGUGGCUCUGAGCUGCCCUGCGGUACCCAGCUGUCCCUCUCCUUCUCUUCUGGUGGGGUUCCUUUCAUGCCUGCUUGGGAGGGCAUAUGUGCACCUGAGGCAUUUUCCUUCACUGACUUUGACGUUUAUCUCUGCUCCCAGUCCCCCUUUUAUCCGUAUUUGAUCCCACUUGCUGAGUGCUGACAGGAAGCAGAUGAAAGGAUUCAAGUCUUUCAGUAUCCAUACUGGCCAUCAACCUAGAUAAGGUAUUAUAGUCUUUCUUAUUAGCCAAGUGAGUGCCCAGAUGAGCCCUGAGAUGCUCAGACCAGCUUCCUCUGAAGCUCAUAAAACUACUUAUAUUUUAGAGAGUGAAAAAAAUAAUGUAGCUUUGCAAGCUUGGCUUCCUUUUAAAUACACACCUUUAUUUUUGUUGCCUUUUGCAACCCUUAAGCACUGCCUUGCCCUCCACCAGGAAAGGUUUAAUCUGCUAAUAUCCUUCUCUUAACACAGUAGUGCCCUACACAAGCCUGCCAGCUGGGAGAGGAGACAGGCCAAACCCUCUCCUGCACACUUCUGCUUCUGUUCCUUUCAGAAUGAUUCCCUCACUUGGGAAUUGCUCAAAGCAGGUGGAUAACAGGAUAGGGUUAAUUAUAACAAAUACAUGCAGCCCACUAAAAAUUCAAUUUAACUCUGUGUGGAGUUUACUGAUUGUACUGAUCAGGAAGUAAUUCAAUUUUCUUUGAUUUUUCUGAGUCAAGUCAUACAUAGAAGAGGAAUUUACUAUGCACUGCUCGUCACUGGAGAGGCAUCUUUUCCUCCAAGAAGAAAAGCAAACUACAAUUUGAUAGGAGAAAUAGCUUCUCCUAUUGUCUUGCAUACAGCCAGACUGAAUCUUUGUCUCACCGUUACGUCCUCUGGUGACUAGGUAAGGGAAAAAUACUCCCUUAUCCAGGGAUAUUCCUGGAUAUUCCUCUGUAAUGAAGAAGAGCUGGAAAAAUAGAAUGCCUCCGAGAUGUAAUAGAAGUUAUUUAAUAUUGUUCUCACUUCUUUUUGUUCUCUGAAGCAAUAAUCAAAAGGAGUAAUUUACCUGUCCUCUUCUCCAUCAGGGUCACAGUACUCCCUCUUCUUCUACCUAUAGUUACACAUGCCUUACAAGCGGUAGCUUACAAGAGAGAUGUACAGGCCAGCUUGAAAUAAGAUGGUUCAGGUUCUGGAUGUGUCCUCACUAUGUCUGGACUUUGAUGGUUAGAUUCUGUGUCACCUACAAAUAGAAAUCUGGAAUAGCUGUACUGGAAUGAAAGGAAUCACAAUGCUUUUUGAUGUUUUAUUUUAUUACCAUUUAUUUAUUUUAUUAUUACCAUUUCUGCUCCUGUGCUUUUGAAGGCAAUAUCUUGCUAUAUUUCUACUGGUGUCUUAGAUUCUUAAGUAAACAGGCUAGUUAAAAAUGUGGAUUAUGGCUAAGAACAAAAGAUAAUAUUUAAAACAAACUUAUCUGCCUGGGGCAGUUGAUUUCCCCAGCAUAAGUCAUUUCUUACCCUGUCACGUCUCAGCUACAAAGCCUGGGAGAAAAUUUUUUUUUCCUGUUGCUUUAAUACUGUUGUCUCCAAGCUGUGUCUUUUGUUCUACCCUGGCACCUUUGCCACCUUCCCCUAAGGUAGGAGAGCUCAAUGAAGCAAGAUUCCCCUGUAGGUUCUGGUUGGAGCUUUGGUGGAAGCCGUUUUUCUGCUUCCAGCUUGUGCCGUGGGUGGUACUUUCAGGCGUCCAGGCUGGUCUGGAACUCCCUUGAGGGUGACUGUCAGGGCUCUGCUCAUCCCAAGACAUUAAAGGGCUGUGGUUGGACAGUACUGCUCCCACAGUGUCUGUACUAAGCUAUAACGGAGAGAAACACGUAUUAGAGCUUGUAUUUGCACACAGCAGAUCCCUCUACCUACAGGACAAAGAUGCAAGUUGUACAUAUCUCAGCCAUUAGUGAAUGCUCAACGUUCACCUCCUUACUUGUUGGACAGAUCCACGGCUACUUUCCAUCUUCUUUUUCUUGGAAAUUGCUGGAUUCCAGUGACACACCAGGCUGUCAUUUUGGACACUAUAGUUCUUGUUACCAAGAAGCCAGUAGGUUUUCAUUUUCCCUUUGCCCUGGGACAAGAAUAAGGAGAGAGCAGGGAGUGGCUUUUUUUGUGGGAUGUGAGGCAGAGCAGAGAAUCACUAUGCCUGGGGCUCCUAUUUGUACUGCAUUGUACUGCAUCUGUCUUCUGCUAUCAUGAGAGGCUGCUGCUUAGGAAAAGGACUGCAAUUUGUAUGCAGUUUGGGUGCUGGUAGUUCUUCCAGUGCAGAAAAAGGCCUUGCUGGUCACUGGUGAUAUUUCUAAGGGUUUAAAAUCAGCCUUGUAUCUAUGUGUCUUUGUAACUGAAUCCCAAUGCUUUCACCCAGAAUCAUGUGGUUCCAUGCAGGGGCAGGCACACCAAGUGUAUUUCAAAUGACACAAUACCAUUUCUGCUUUGGUUAGGAGAAGUAACAUAUAGCCAUUUCCAGCUGAAUUAGCAAGAGAACCUUGGUGCCAUGGCUAAAAACCAGCUUGCAACACAGAGAAGAGCAAUGGCCAAAUCCAUCCCGUUCUUUUAAACUCCUUUACUUUUGGGAAGUUACAGAAAAAAACAGUUACCUUGACAUCAAUUUCUCCCCUCAGUUCAAUUUCAUACGUGUCAUCUGUGAGAAGGGCAUUGUACGUAGCAGAACUGAUGUGGAUCUUCUGUGCUAGGAUUCAGAACAGAGCAUUAGAAGGGAAGGAUUCCCCUGUUUCUGGAGAGCACACACUAGUCCUCCUGCAUUACCAGCCCAGCGUUUCUACUUCCUCUUUGGAAAAUGUCAGGUUGAGGAAGAAGUACAAAGCGGGGUGAAGAUGCCCUAAAUGGAGGAUGAGGACUGUUUUGUCUCCAGGACACUGCAUGCAGAUGUCGGUUAACAGAACCACUGACAUGACUACACAGUGCUGUGUGGGGUAUCUGUACAACAGCACAGUACAUGUAUGUGGUAUUGGUAGCAAAGGUAGCCCAAAAAGCUGGGCCAAGAAAAACAUACGCAGUCCUCUUCUGUGUAGCCACAGUGUUUCUAUCUAAUGCCUUUGUUAUUCAAGUCCUUAAAAUGAAACUCAGCUUGCCUAACACUACUCAGCUUUUGUUGCCUUUUUAUACUCUUUUUCUUAUUUCCAAACUUCCAAGAAAUAGCAAAAGAGAGAGAACUUUAUUUGCCACAUGAAUGCACAAGAGUUUCUCUUGCUUGUUUGAUUAGUAUAUAUACAGGAUAGUGGCAGCUGCGGGUCACACAUAUGCUUCUUUAGAUCCAUGGGAAUUGGUUCUCUAGCCUGGCAUAUUCCACAGACAUAUUCCAUGCUCCUCCUCCUGUAUGAACCUUAUUUCACAAUUGCCCGUGGCCAGUGCAAAGGGGUGUUAGGGGGUUUCCUUUCACUGCAGUGCCUAAGAAACACAGAGUGCAGGUGGGAGCCUGGCUGGCGCAUGAGAAAUGUGUGGAGUGUGCCCAAGUCACUUACGCAAGCUGGUGGACUCCAUGCGGGAGGCUGUGUUUACCGUGUCCCCAAACAGGCAAUAGCGAGGCAUUUUGUACCCCACAACUCCAGCUACACAGGGUCCUGAGAAAACAUAAGGCGUAGAGAUCCUAAUAAGAAACAACUGGAAAAAGUGCAGGGAGAUGCCAAAUGUAGACACCUUUGCUAGGCAAAUUCUGGAUCCUCAAAGAGCAACGGGAAUUGGGAAUUCUCCCUGCACCUAGCACCCAGCUGCACACUAUUUACUUAAGGACAGAAGGGAUCAUUUGAUUAGCUGUAGAUAAUUGGCCCUGAUGGCAGGGGAAGGUGCACUUUGCCAGUACUGAACUAUUUCACAGCCCUUUCCACACUAAUGCAAGCAAAAAUCAGUUUGCCCAACUAUUACUGCUGGAACCUGGAGAUAUUCAUCUUGGGGUCCUGUAGGGAGUCAAUGGCUAUUACAGAAAUGUAGUUUUUUAUUCUUACAUAAUUAGUUUUUUUCAAGCUCCCACCUCAGCCCAUGUACCUGUGUGUAUCCCAGCCCGCAGCUGCAGCCUGCCAGUUGGCAUAUGAGGGAUCACAACUUGACGAACUGCUGCCACCAGAUCCAGAGACAUUUUGGCAAUCUCAUCAGCGUGUUUAGUGCCAUUCCUCUCUGGCAGGCCACUCACCACCAUGUAGGCAUCACCAAUGGUUUCCACCUGGAGAGAAGGGACACCUGUCACCGAGUGGCAGGCACUAAGCUUUUCUUUCAAAAUGAAAUCAGAAUAAAAUGCAUCUCAGCUGCCCAGCCCUUGCUAAGUUGUGAUGUGGGCCCUGGGUGAUGGGGGAUCUUGGAUUUCAUGGCUUCUGGACAGCUGUAUUUAACAUUCACCAGGGAAAACAAGGGAGUUUAAAUCCUCCAGGAGCUGAUCGGCACGAAAUGGGGUGUUCCUCUUAUUUGCUUCUGGGACCAGCCAACUGUGCCUUUCUUCCUGCAGGAGAGAGAUGAAGCGAACAGCCCAAAGGUUUUCACAG